ACACUCCUGCGGGAGGCAGCAGUGGGGAAUUUUGGACAAUGGGCGAAAGCCUGAUCUAGCAAUGCCGCGUGAGUGAAGAAGGCCUUCGGGUUGUAAAGCUCUUUUGUCAGGGAAGAAACGGUGAGAGCUAAUAUCUCUUGCUAAUGACGGUACCUGAAGAAUAAGCACCGGCUAACUACGUGCCAGCAGCCGCGGUAAUACGUAGGGUGCAAGCGUUAAUCGGAAUUACUGGGCGUAAAGCGUGCGCAGGCGGUUUUGUAAGUCUGAUGUGAAAUCCCCGGGCUCAACCUGGGAAUUGCAUUGGGGACUGCAAGGCUAGAAUCUGGCAGAGGGGGGUAGAAUUCCACGUGUAGCAGUGAAAUGCGUAGAUAUGUGGAGGAACACCGAUGGCGAAGGCAGCCCCCUGGGUCAAGAUUGACGCUCAUGCACGAAAGCGUGGGGAGCAAACAGGAUUAGAUACCCCUGUAGUCCCAUGAU
rnacentral:rRNA from 1 species